AGAGUUUGAUCAUGGCUCAGAAUGAACGUUGGCGGCGUGGAUUAGGCAUGCGAGUCGCGCGAGAAUGUAGCAAUACAGGACAGCGGCGAAAGGGAGAGGACAACACGGGAAUCUGCCUUGGGGACGAGGAUAGCGUCGGGAAACUGACAGUAAUACUCGAUAAUGUUUGCGGACCAAAGGUGUGAUUCCGCCCCAAGAUGAGCCCGUGCCCCAUUAGCUAGUUGGCAGGGUAAUGGCCUACCAAGGCUGUGAUGGGUAGCUGGUGUGAGAGCACGACCAGCCUCACUGGCACUGAGACACUGGCCAGACACCUACGGGUGGCUGCAGUCGAGAAUCUUCGGCAAUGGACGCAAGUCUGACCGAGCGACGCCGCGUGCGGGAUGAAGGCCUUCGGGUUGUAGACCGCUGUCGUAGGGAAUCAAGUGUAUGAGGGUACUCCCUUGUAUUUGAGAGAUCCUAGGAGGAAGGAGAGGCUAAGCUCGUGCCAGCAGCCGCGGUAAGACGAGCUCUCCAAACGUUAUUCGGUAUUACUGGGCUUAAAGAGUUCGUAGGCGGCUCUGUAGGUGAGAUGUGAAAGCCCUCGGCUUAACCGAGGAACUGCGUUUCAAACCACAGGGCUUGAGGGAGAUAGGGGUAAGCGGAACAGAUGGUGGAGCGGUGAAAUGCAUUGAUAUCAUCUGGAACACCGGUGGCGAAGGCGGCUUACUGGGUCUUUUCUGACGCUGAGGAACGAAAGCUAGGGUAGCGAACGGGAUUAGAUACCCCGGUAGUCCUAGCCGUAAACGAUGAGCACUAGUCUGAGGGACUCUCACAGUUUCUCGGACGUAGCGAAAGUGUUAAGUGCUCCGCCUGGGGAGUAUGGUCGCAAGGCUGAAACUUAAAUGAAUUGACGG
rnacentral:rRNA from 1 species